UUGCGCAAUCGGAGAAUGGAACA
rnacentral:snRNA from 1 species